GGUGAGGUGCGUGAGUGGUUUAAACGGACAGUCUUGAAAACUGUUGAGGAUGCAAGUCCUCCGUGGGUUCGAAUCCCACCCUCACCGCCA
rnacentral:tRNA from 1 species